rnacentral:lncRNA from 1 species
UGCGUAUAUCCAUAAUAAUUACAUGCGUUACUUACCAAUUACCGCCAAGUGCCUCACUGAUAGAUCUAUUUACAAUUUCAAAACUGUAAGGUGGAAAGAAUGGAGCCGUCAGAGGUUUUGGUCCAUGCACGUGAGAUAGGUCCACAACACGAAUAUCAGAGCAGCUUGAAGAUGUUGCAGCAUUAAUUCCGUUUACUAAACAUAUAAAUAAAACAAAAAACACAGUCUUAAUUCUCCAAUUCAUUUUUAUUGUAUGAAACUCCCCUUCUUUUAUGUAGCAUUUAACUAGUAUCUUGUGUUAAUUGUUUUAAAUAUUACAUGUAUAUUAGCGCCCG